UACAGAGGGUGCGAGCGUUAAUCGGAGUUACUGGGCGUAAAGGGCGCGUGGGCGGUGAGAUGGGUGUGAUGUGAAAGCCCUGGGCUUAACCUAGGAAGUGCAUCGCAAACUAUCUGACUGGAGUAUAUGAGAGGGUGGCGGAAUUUCCGGUGUAGCGGUGAAAUGCGUAGAGAUCGGAAGGAGCGUCGAUGGCGAAGGCAGCCACCUGGCAUAAUACUGACGUUGAGGCACGAAAGCGUGGGGAGCAAACAGG
rnacentral:rRNA from 1 species